rnacentral:rRNA from 1 species
UGGGGAAUAUUGCACAAUGGGCGCAAGCCUGAUGCAGCAACGCCGCGUGCGGGAUGACGGCCUUCGGGUUGUAAACCGCUUUCAGUUCCGACGAAGCGCAAGUGACGGUAGGAACAGAAGAAGGACCGGCCAACUACGUGCCAGCAGCCGCGGUGAUACGUAGGGUCCGAGCGUUGUCCGGAAUUAUUGGGCGUAAAGGGCUUGUAGGCGGUUUGUUGCGUCGGAAGUGAAAACUCAGGGCUUAACCCUGAGCCUGCUUCCGAUACGGGCAAACUAGAGGGAUGCAGGGGAGAAUGGAAUUCCUGGUGGAGCGGUGGAAUGCGCAGAUAUCAGGAGGAACACCGGUGGCGAAGGCGGUUCUCUGGGCAUUUCCUGACGCUGAGAAGCGAAAGCGUGGGGAGCAAACA